AUUCACUUGACUGCACUUAUACUAAAAUUGGAAGACUACACAGAAGGGUAGCAUGGCCCCUGCACAAUGACAACACAUAAAUCCAUGAAGUAACCCACAUUUUU